GUCCUUUUGAAUUUAAUAUAAGGUUUGACCUGCCCACUGAAAUUUUGAAUGGCCGCAGUAAUUUGACUGUGCAAAGGUAGCAUAAUCAUUAGUUUUUUAAUUAAAAGCUUGUAUGAAGGGUUGGACGAGGUAAAAACUGUCUCUAUUUAAUUUAUAAUAGAACUUAAUUUUUAAGUUAAAAAGCUUAAAUAUUUUUAAAAGACGAGAAGACCCUAUAGAUCUUUAUAUUAUUUUUUUUAAUUUUAAUUAAGAAUAUUUUAUUAAUUAAUAAAAAUAAUAUUUUAUUGGGGUAAUAAAAAGAUUAAAAAAAUUCUUUUUUUUGUUUAACAUUAAUAAAUGAAUUUAUGAUCCAAUAAUAUUGAUUAAAAGAUUAAGUUACCUUAGGGAUAACAGCGUAAUUUUUUUAGAGAGUUCAUAUCGAUAAAAAAGUUUGCGACCUCGAUGUUGGAUUAAAAAUUAUCUUAGGUGCAGAAGUUUAAGAUUUUGGUCUGUUCGACCAUUAAAUUUUUACA
rnacentral:rRNA from 1 species